rnacentral:rRNA from 1 species
AACGAACGCUGGCGGCAGGCUUAACACAUGCAAGUCGAACGGGCGUAGCAAUACGUCGGUGGCAGACGGGUGAGUAACACGUGGAAACCUUCCUCGGGGUACGGAACAACUCAGGGAAACUUGAGCUAAUACCGUAUACGUCCGAGAGGAGAAAGAUUUAUCGCCCUUAGACGGGCCCGCGUCGGAUUAGGUAGUUGGCGGGGUAACGGCCUACCAAGCCGACGAUCCGUAGCUGAUCUGAGAGGAUGAUCAGCCACACUGGGACUGAGACACGGCCCAGACUCCUACGGGAGGCAGCAGUGGGGAAUCUUGGACAAUGGGCGCAAGCCUGAUCCAGCCAUGCCGCGUGAGUGAAGAAGGCCUUAGGGUUGUAAAGCUCUUUUGGCAGGGACGAUAAUGACGGUACCUGCAGAAUAAGCCCCGGCAAACUUCGUGCCAGCAGCCGCCGUAACAC